CUUUCCUACAUUUGAUCUCACUCCUGCUCACUGGCCCAGGCUCUUUACUGGUGGUUCUCCGGUGGACACAGCUCAGGUAACCAGCGUUUUGCAAGGGAUGAGCCAUUUUGUUUUGAUAAGUGGCCAGCAAUGAUCACAAAGGGCCUAGUGCUGAACACACGCAACUCAGAUUUUCAACAGUAGCUAAGCACCUAACCAGUUGCAAAAAUAUAACCCUGCAUAGCAAACUAGCCUGGUGACACACAAAAGAAAAAUGAAGCAAGCUUCCAGAUCCCCUUUCAUCCGGAAAGUCAACACAGUCCAAAAUCCUGUGAAUAAGGAGAUCCCUUUUCCCAGCCUCUUCAGAACCCUUCCCCUCCACAUGUACCAAGUAAGAAAAACAGCAAGAAAAUU